rnacentral:lncRNA from 1 species
AUUUACCAAUUGAGAUCAAACAUCGUGAGACGUUUCAACUAUGACUUAUAAUCUUCUUCAGACGUCCCAGGUUUCAACAUAGAUCGAAGAUCUCUCCGGCCUUCAAUCAAUUUAACAAACUGCACCAAAAUACAGAAAACAUGAUUCGAAUUUAUUUAAUAGAUAACAUCUGGUAUUGGUUUUCACUGAAAUUAUCUUUACAAAACAGCGGGUAUUCGACCCCUCAAUUGUGCGUCUUAUCGCACAUGUCAUAUUAUCAAGUAACCCCAUGUGGAGCGAGGAUGGGUUAUCGUCCUUGUCGCUACAAAUAAUUGUUAUCAAAUUGAGUUAUCUCCCUUAAACCGGACAGAUUCUUGGCAAU